AGUUUGAUCCUGGGUCAGGAAGGAACGUUAGCGACAGGCUUUACCCAUGCAAGUCGAGGGGCCAGGGAGGGGGUAGCAAUUCCCCGUUGGCCGACCGGCGCACUGGUGAGUAACACGUAUGCGACCUGCCCCCUACAGGGGUAUAACCCGUAGAAAUGCGGACUAAUCCCCCAUAGUCCCGUUGGCUGCAUGGCCAUCGGGGGAAAGGGUUUCCGGUAGGGGAUGGGCAUGCGGCGCAUUAGCUAGUUGGCGGGGCAACGGCCCACCAAGGCGACGAUGCGUAGGGGUUCUGAGAGGAAGGUCCCCCACACUGGUACUGAGACACGGACCAGACUCCUACGGGAGGCAGCAGUGAGGAAUAUUGGUCAAUGGGCGCAGGCCUGAACCAGCCAAGUCGCGUGAGGGAGGACGGUCCUACGGAUUGUAAACCUCUUUUGUCGGGGAGUAACGUGCGGGACGGGUCCCGUAUUGAGAGUACCCGAAGAAAAAGCAUCGGCUAACUCCGUGCCAGCAGCCGCGGUAAUACGGAGGAUGCGAGCGUUAUCCGGAUUUAUUGGGUUUAAAGGGUGCGCAGGCGGCGCGCCAAGUCAGCGGUCAAAGUUCCGGGCUCAACCCGGUGUCGCCGUUGAAACUGGCGUGCUCGAGUGCGUGCGAGGAAGGCGGAAUGCGUUGUGUAGCGGUGAAAUGCAUAGAUAUGACGCAGAACUCCGAUUGCGAAGGCAGCUUUCCAGCGCGCUACUGACGCUGAGGCACGAAAGCGUGGGGAUCGAACAGGAUUAGAUACCCUGGUAGUCCACGCAGUAAACGAUGACUACUAGCUUUCCGGGGCGACUGUGUCCUGGGAGGCACAGCGAAAGCGU
rnacentral:rRNA from 1 species